UAUUGCCCUUCUUCUGCCUCUCUGGAACCACUUUAAGUACAAAGAAACCCAUUUCCUCCCAGUAACUGGACAAGACCUAGUUCUGGAGGUACAACACAAUUUUAUUGGCCACACACAGCUUUUAUGCAUGACCCCAUGCAAGGGGUUUAACACACAAACAUACAGGGUCACAUCCCCGGAUCCCCCCUUGGUUCCUAGCGUGGGAAGGGACUCCGUUCCCUUUGUCUCAAAAGCCCACCACUAAAUCCACAGGGUUCCCAACACCAACCGCCAGGGGUCUUCUUCCACAGAAAAAGCCCGCCCGGGGCCCGCCCGGGGGGAAAGAGCUGGUCUCUUUGUGCCCACAGGCACCAACAAGCCUGCCACCCUCGCCAGUGCCCCAGAAGUAUCCACACCAACCUCAGGGACUCACGCAGCUGUACCUUUCUCAGCCAGUCCCCACUCG